rnacentral:rRNA from 1 species
UGGGGAAUAUUGGACAAUGGGCGAAAGCCUGAUCCAGCCAUGCCGCGUGUGUGAAGAAGGUCUUCGGAUUGUAAAGCACUUUAAGUUGGGAGGAAGGGCAGUAAGCGAAUACCUUGCUGUUUUGACGUUACCGACAGAAUAAGCACCGGCUAACUCUGUGCCAGCAGCCGCGGUAAUACAGAGGGUGCAAGCGUUAAUCGGAAUUACUGGGCGUAAAGCUCGCGUAGGUGGUUCGUUAAGUUGAAUGUGAAAGCCCCGGGCUCAACCUGGGAACUGCAUCCAAAACUGGCGAGCUAGAGUAGGGCAGAGGGUGGUGGAAUUUCCUGUGUAGCGGUGAAAUGCGUAGAUAUAGGAAGGAACACCAGUGGCGAAGGCGACCACCUGGGCUCAUACUGACACUGAGGUGCGAAAGCGUGGGGAGCAAACAGG